GUGGCAAGCGUUGUCCGGAUUUAUUGGGCGUAAAGCGAGUGCAGGCGGUUCCAUAAGUCUUGUGUGAAAGCCUUCCGCUCAACCCGCGAAUUGCAUCAGAAACUGUUGAACUUGAGUGCAGAAGAGGAGAGUGGAACUCCAUGUGUAGCGGUGGAAUGCGUAGAUAUAUGGAAGAACACCAGUGGCGAAGGCGGCUCUCUGGUCUGCAACUGACGCUGAGGCUCGAAAGCAUGGGUAGCGAAC
rnacentral:rRNA from 1 species